AAGAAGGAAGUCGUCGUGCUUAACACAUGCAAGUCGAACGGAAAGGCCCUGCUUUUGUGGGGUGCUCGAGUGGCGAACGGGUGAGUAACACGUGAGUAACCUGCCCUUGACUUUGGGAUAACUUCAGGAAACUGGGGCUAAUACCGGAUAGGAGCUCCUGCUGCAUGGUGGGGGUUGGAAAGUUUCGGCGGUUGGGGAUGGACUCGCGGCUUAUCAGCUUGUUGGUGGGGUAGUGGCUUACCAAGGCUUUGACGGGUAGCCGGCCUGAGAGGGUGACCGGCCACAUUGGGACUGAGAUACGGCCCAGACUCCUACGGGAGGCAGCAGUGGGGAAUAUUGCACAAUGGGCGGAAGCCUGAUGCAGCAACGCCGCGUGCGGGAUGACGGCCUUCGGGUUGUAAACCGCUUUCGCCUGUGACGAAGCGUGAGUGACGGUAAUGGGUAAAGAAGCACCGGCUAACUACGUG
rnacentral:rRNA from 1 species